CCUACGGGUGGCUGCAGUGGGGAAUAUUGGACAAUGGGGGGAACCCUGAUCCAGCCAUGCCGCGUGUGUGAAGAAGGCCCUCGGGUUGUAAAGCACUUUCAGUGAGGAAGAACGCCUGGUGGUUAAUACCCAUCAGGAAAGACAUCACUCACAGAAGAAGCACCGGCUAACUCCGUGCCAGCAGCCGCGGUAAUACGGAGGGUGCGAGCGUUAAUCGGAAUUACUGGGCGUAAAGCGCGCGUAGGUGGCUUGAUAAGCCGGUUGUGAAAGCCCCGGGCUCAACCUGGGAACGGCAUCCGGAACUGUCAAGCUAGAGUGCAGGAGAGGAAGGUAGAAUUCCCGGUGUAGCGGUGAAAUGCGUAGAGAUCGGGAGGAAUACCAGUGGCGAAGGCGGCCUUCUGGACUGACACUGCCACUGAGGUGCGAAAGCGUGGGUAGCAAACAGGAUUAGAUACCCUGGUAGUC
rnacentral:rRNA from 1 species